CAGUUACCUGAGAGCAACGCUGAGAUUCAGACAAUGGAGAAUCUUCUCCUUACUCUGAAAAGCCUUAGUGCUGCAUGGCUGAGCUCCACAUCCACAACCUUUGCGAUGGAUAUGAUCCUUGCCUUUGCUUGUGGACUGGGGCUUUUCCUUGAAUUACUGCCCUGGCUUCAGGGUGAACCAUCCUUACCAGCAUCCAGGAAGAAGAGAAACAUCAGAAAGACUUCCAGAAACACCUGAAAGAGACCCAGAACCUGACUCCUGUGCCAGAAAGCCUGCCAAUGACGCUCCCUGAUCAAGAUCUCGCUGCUGCUGUGUGCACAAGUCCACCCAUCACAGCCCUGAUGCCAUCCAAGGAGCAUGUGGAUGCUCCAGCUCUGUCCCCAGUGGCCGCUGCCAUCACUCCUCUCAC